GUGCCAUGAUGUUAAACUGUCAACACAUCAUUCUGAAGAAUCGUGUGGAGACUUAGUGAACUGAGCCCA